rnacentral:sRNA from 1 species
ACCAGUUUAGGAAAAAUUUAAAAUACAUAAAAAUACAGUGGUCAAAGAGUGUAAUUGAUAAUAAGUAUUCUUCAGUAUUCAAAUUUUCAUAGAAGCACCGCAUCAAUUAUGUCUUAUGGACUCAAGUUGGGUAAUUAGUUUGACACUUUGCAGAGGGUGGUCAACAUCCCAAGUCUCAAUUUUUGAAAGAAAGAUCUAGAUUGGUAAUGGAAUAUGGCCUCCAACCUGAACUUUUAAGUAAAUAUUUGGUAUAGAGCAGUGAGCUGGCUCAUUUGGCCUCCCAAUUUUGAUGGUUAGAGAUAGACAGUAAAGAAGCCUUCCCUUUGCGUCUGUCAAAAUAAUAGGGUUUCGUAGAGCUGUCAAAUUUUUUCAAAGCCCUAAGGCCAACCCUGGCCUUUUCUAUACUGAGACCCAUUUUGUUUGACCCAUGUCUGAGGGGGACUUUUCCAAAGCCCCUAGCCCCCAAAGCUCCAGAAAAUGGGUUGGGAUUAAAUUAGGGCCGGGUUAGCCUCCUAGCCCCCAAAAUCCCACUGUUGACCCUUGACAUCCCAUUUUCUUCUGGACAAACGUUUGCUGCGAAGAGCUUUACAACAAUGGCAACACUCAGUGGAGUCUACGGCGGCAGCGCAUGGCGGUACAGGCAGCGACAACACACAGUGGAGUCAACAGCAGCACUUGACGACAAUGCACAGUGGUAUAGGCGGCGGCGAUAGCAACGAUCGAGUGGUUGAAAAGCGACGAUUGAGUGGUUGAAAAGAAGAAUCGUGAACGAGGUUAUCUUUUCUUUCAAAUACUUCUCGUGCUUUCAGUUUCACCGUGAUGUUUUGAGAACAGUCCAAUCUUGAUCAGGUUAUUGUUUGGUUUCUCAUAUCAUUAAUGCAUUUUCAUGCUGAUUUUGGGUGUAGUGAAUGUCUGGUUCAUGUAUCAUAAAAGUCAAAUUCGCCCACUCUCUCAUUUCAGAGCUUCUUGAUUUGUUUUUUCUUUCACCAAUUUUUUAAUGUAUUUGGUUCAAUUCCACAUUCUGUUGCAUUUCUUGUUGUAGCGACCUGGACAAUACCCACGAACCAUCGCAUACUGUGGCACCCUUUCACCUUCUUGGUACUUCACAUGUCGCACACCCAUAUGUUACUUUUUUAUUUUUAUUUAUCUACUUCUUUCAAAGUUUGAGUCUUUUUGUAUUUUGGCUUCAGUUUUUCUUCUCUUGUCUCAGGUAUUCUCGUCUACUUUCAAAGGGUUGUUUCUGAAUUUGGUUUUGCUUUAGUGGAGAGAAAAGUACAUUGCCUAGUUCAUGAGAGAUAUUUGAGAGUUCUAGUGCUUUUUCAUUUUUGGGAUGUAUCUUUCAAAGAGUUUCAAGCAUGAAGUUGUUGUCAUCCUGUGGUUUUGCUGCUAUUUGCUACAUGCUGCUGGGCAGAAUAACAUCACUAGUAAUGUUGAAGGUAUGUGCUUUUUUUUUUGUAUUCUCUGAUUGCUUUGCUUCUAUUAGGAAUGCACUGAUGUUUUUUGACUAGUUGGAUCAUUCAUGACAUUAUGUAAGAGUCACUAUAAUUAAAUUAUUUAGUUUAGAGUCUUAUUCCUGUCUUCUUUAUUCCUUUACAUAAAAAUUGGAAUUUAAACACAGGGUAGCUGGACUUGUGCACCAAUCAUUCUUUAAUCUCAAAGGACCCUUGCAUGAGGGGGUGUGCAAGGGAUGUACUAUUAAAACCAUUUAUUUUCACCUAACAACUUAAGAUUUUGAGAUACUUGUUUCGUGAUAGCUUCUCUUUGAUAUAUUGCUUGGAUUUGUUUCUCUAUUGAACAUCACAUUCACUCUAGCUCUCACUUUUCUAGUUAGUCUUCUCUAUAGGAAGACUAUAUAUAGGUGGGGGUUCCUCUAUCUUGGGUCAUGUUUUUGUUCUGUUUGAGAGAGUAGAGAGGAUUGUUAGAGUGGUGUAAGGAGGGAUACAUUGUCCCUUGGCAUUGUACAUGUUGUUUUGCCAUCCUAAAUCAAUAACACGAGGUCUUUUCAGUGAAUUAGUUUGUGUGAGUUGCAAUUACUAAGUUUCUUCUAUCAAGAAACGUAACAGAAGUAAGUUCCUGAAACACUGGUCAUUUUAUAAUUCCUAUCUCAUGAUGUGUUUUCAGUGAUAAGUUGAUUAAUAGGAAUUGUUAAAUCUGCCUACAAGCUUGUUACCCGAUUGGCAUUGGCUCAAGUCUUUUAAGGUUUUUGUGUAAUAUGUUGAACUCAGACGAUCAAUUGUCACCAUACUGACUACCGUUCUUGCCUAUCAAAUACUUUCAACUCAUGCAGUUAACAUAUUAAUUCUUAAAUCCAGAAAAUUAUUCUUUGGUACGUUUUGCAAAAAUUUGAGAGUGGUUGGAAGAUUUAAUACCUGCACUUUUUUCAGAGUCUUUGUUUUCAUUUCUUUUGCUAAAUUUAAUGUUUAUGUUAAAUGUGUCUCCCUCUCCCUAUGUAUGGAAGAUCAUGUAGUUUUUCUUAUUUAUACAUAUUUUGUGAUGCCUUUAGAAUCUAUGCCUAAUAAAUAUUCAAGUCUCAAGAGCUUUUUAUUUUCUUUCUAACCCAUACUAUAUCUCAUUUGUUUCGCUAUCUACUUUGUUAUAUCCAUGAAACAAUGUUGUAUCCUAUCUUCAACUGUACAUAUUGAAGAUUUGCAUUACAGGGGAGACACCUUCAUUUUGUAAAGGACCGUACUCCAAUAUUUGUAUACCCGUGGCUGUAUUGGCAGCAGUACCUGGUAAAGGAGGAGGGUUGCUUGAAAAGCCAGUUAUUGAGAAAGUCGCCCCUGACCGUGAGUCUGAAUUUGAUUUGAAGUAAGCAGGAGUUUUGUCUACUUC